rnacentral:lncRNA from 1 species
GUUGUUUUGGUACUCAUGCUACGCUCUGCAUCUAUUUUGUGAUGCAGGUCCGAGCACUAGUAGCCAGCGUUGAUCUAGCUUGGAGUAGACUUAUCCGGAGACGGGGGUGAGCACACGGCGUUUUGUACUAUUUCAGUCUCCAUCUGUAUAUAUAGACUUGUCUUUUUCCUUUCGAGACAGUCCAGUCUCUGUUGUCCGGUUUUAGGACUUGUACUCAUUUUGUAGUAGCUCUGUACUGGUGACUUCCAGGUUCUGGGAGGGCUCUUUAUUUGUAUAUAUGUUUUUGGUUUGAUUCCGCCUGUUUAUAUUGUUAAUUUCCUAUUCUUGUUUAGUUUCUACCCUUAGACCCAUUACUUGUUGUUCCGGGUUACGGGUUGGCUUACCUGCUGGUGGGUUAUAGUAGGUGCCAUCAUGACUUGAGAAAUUGGGUCGUGACAAAUUGGUAUCAGAGCCCAGGUUCGUCGGUCUCACUUGUACAGAUCUAAUGUCUAGUAGAGUCCUGCAGAUCGGUACGGAGACGUCCGUUACUUGUCUUUAGGAACGUGUCGCUUUUGUAUCACUGUCGUGCAUUGUGUGUCUUAUAGGUUUCUGAAAAUCUUACUUGUACCACUCUGUUAUAGGGAUGGCUCGCACGCGUGGUAGGGCCCCAGCUAGGGGUAGAGGCCGACCUCGAGGUCGUGCCAGAGUUACAGCACCAGCCCAGGACCGAGAGCAAACUCCGGAGCCGGUGAUAGAGCCACCAGCAGUUUCAGCACAGCAGCAAUUGAUGGGCCUGGGACCAGCCCAGCCACCGCCAGAGCCUGUGGCAGCUCCAGAUAUACAGGCGAUGCUCGUACAGAUACUAGCUGCCAUUGGGGGUAUGCAGCAGGCCCCAGCUCCAGCCGUUCCAGUACCGCAGGGCCAGCCUACACCAGCGGUACCGGUUGUUCAGC